rnacentral:rRNA from 1 species
GACGUAGGGCGCGAGCGUUGUCCGGAUUUAUUGGGCGUAAAGAGCUCGUAGGCGGCUUGUCGCGUCGACUGUGAAAACCCGCGGCUUAACUGCGGGACUGCAGCCGAUACGGGCAAGCUAGAAUUCGGUAGGGGAGACUGGAAUUCCUGGUGUAGCGGUGAAAUGCGCAGAUAUCAGGAGGAACACCGGUGGCGAAGGCGGGUCUCUGGGCCGAUAUUGACGCUGAGGAGCGAAAGCGUGGGGAGCGAACAGG